ensembl:misc_RNA Y_RNA Y RNA
GACUGGUCUGAUGGUAGCAGGUUAUCGGAACUUACUAACAUUAAUGUCACUAAAGCUAGGUAUAUGACCCCUAACUACUAAAUUUGAAUGGCUAAA